GGUUAAGCGACUAAGCGUACACGGUGGAUGCCCUGGCAGUCAGAGGCGAUGAAGGGCGUGCUAAUCUGCGAUAAGCGCCGGUAAGGUGAUAUGAACCGUUAUAACCGGCGAUACCCGAAUGGGGAAACCCAGUGUGAUUCGUCACACUAUCAUUAACUGAAUCCAUAGGUUAAUGAGGCGAACCGGGGGAACUGAAACAUCUAAGUACCCCGAGGAAAAGAAAUCAACCGAGAUUCCCCCAGUAGCGGCGAGCGAACGGGGAGGAGCCCAGAGCCUGAAUCAGCAUGUGUGUUAGUGGAAGCGUCUGGAAAGGCGCGCGAUACAGGGUGACAGCCCCGUACACAAAAGCGCAUGUGCUGUGAGCUCGAUGAGUAGGGCGGGACACGUGGUAUCCUGUCUGAAUAUGGGGGGACCAUCCUCCAAGGCUAAAUACUCCUGACUGACCGAUAGUGAACCAGUACCGUGAGGGAAAGGCGAAAAGAACCCCGGCGAGGGGAGUGAAAAAGAACCUGAAACCGUGUACGUACAAGCAGUGGGAGCACAGGUUUACCUGUGUGACUGCGUACCUUUUGUAUAAUGGGUCAGCGACUUAUAUUCUGUAGCAAGGUUAACCGAAUAGGGGAGCCGGAGGGAAACCGAGUCUUAAUUGGGCGUUAAGUUGCAGGGUAUAGACCCGAAACCCGGUGAUCUAGCCAUGGGCAGGUUGAAGGUUGGGUAACACUAACUGGAGGACCGAACCGACUAAUGUUGAAAAAUUAGCGGAUGACCUGUGGCUGGGGGUGAAAGGCCAAUCAAACCGGGAGAUAGCUGGUUCUCCCCGAAAGCUAUUUAGGUAGCGCCUCGUGAAUUCAUCUCCGGGGGUAGAGCACUGUUUCGGCUAGGGGGCCAUCCCGGCUUACCAACCCGAUGCAAACUGCGAAUACCGGAGAAUGUUAUCACGGGAGACACACGGCGGGUGCUAACGUCCGUCGUGAAGAGGGAAACAACCCAGACCGCCAGCUAAGGUCCCAAAGUCAUGGUUAAGUGGGAAACGAUGUGGGAAGGCCCAGACAGCCAGGAUGUUGGCUUAGAAGCAGCCAUCAUUUAAAGAAAGCGUAAUAGCUCACUGGUCGAGUCGGCCUGCGCGGAAGAUGUAACGGGGCUAAACCAUGCACCGAAGCUGCGGCAGCGACACUGUGUGUUGUUGGGUAGGGGAGCGUUCUGUAAGCCUGUGAAGGUGUGUCGUGAGGCAUGCUGGAGGUAUCAGAAGUGCGAAUGCUGACAUAAGUAACGAUAAAGCGGGUGAAAAGCCCGCUCGCCGGAAGACCAAGGGUUCCUGUCCAACGUUAAUCGGGGCAGGGUGAGUCGACCCCUAAGGCGAGGCCGAAAGGCGUAGUCGAUGGGAAACGGGUUAAUAUUCCCGUACUUGGUGUUACUGCGAAGGGGGGACGGAGAAGGCUAUGUUGGCCGGGCGACGGUUGUCCCGGUUUAAGCGUGUAGGCUGGUUUUCCAGGCAAAUCCGGAAAAUCAAGGCUGAGGCGUGAUGACGAGGCACUACGGUGCUGAAGCAACAAAUGCCCUGCUUCCAGGAAAAGCCUCUAAGCAUCAGGUAACAUCAAAUCGUACCCCAAACCGACACAGGUGGUCAGGUAGAGAAUACCAAGGCGCUUGAGAGAACUCGGGUGAAGGAACUAGGCAAAAUGGUGCCGUAACUUCGGGAGAAGGCACGCUGACACGUAGGUGAAGUGAUUUACUCAUGGAGCUGAAGUCAGUCGAAGAUACCAGCUGGCUGCAACUGUUUAUUAAAAACACAGCACUGUGCAAACACGAAAGUGGACGUAUACGGUGUGACGCCUGCCCGGUGCCGGAAGGUUAAUUGAUGGGGUCAGCGCAAGCGAAGCUCCUGAUCGAAGCCCCGGUAAACGGCGGCCGUAACUAUAACGGUCCUAAGGUAGCGAAAUUCCUUGUCGGGUAAGUUCCGACCUGCACGAAUGGCGUAAUGAUGGCCAGGCUGUCUCCACCCGAGACUCAGUGAAAUUGAACUCGCUGUGAAGAUGCAGUGUACCCGCGGCAAGACGGAAAGACCCCGUGAACCUUUACUAUAGCUUGACACUGAACAUUGAGCCUUGAUGUGUAGGAUAGGUGGGAGGCUUUGAAGUGUGGACGCCAGUCUGCAUGGAGCCGACCUUGAAAUACCACCCUUUAAUGUUUGAUGUUCUAACGUGGACCCGUUACCCGGGUUGCGGACAGUGUCUGGUGGGUAGUUUGACUGGGGCGGUCUCCUCCUAAAGAGUAACGGAGGAGCACGAAGGUUGGCUAAUCCUGGUCGGACAUCAGGAGGUUAGUGCAAUGGCAUAAGCCAGCUUGACUGCGAGCGUGACGGCGCGAGCAGGUGCGAAAGCAGGUCAUAGUGAUCCGGUGGUUCUGAAUGGAAGGGCCAUCGCUCAACGGAUAAAAGGUACUCCGGGGAUAACAGGCUGAUACCGCCCAAGAGUUCAUAUCGACGGCGGUGUUUGGCACCUCGAUGUCGGCUCAUCACAUCCUGGGGCUGAAGUAGGUCCCAAGGGUAUGGCUGUUCGCCAUUUAAAGUGGUACGCGAGCUGGGUUUAGAACGUCGUGAGACAGUUCGGUCCCUAUCUGCCGUGGGCGCUGGAGAACUGAGGGGGGCUGCUCCUAGUACGAGAGGACCGGAGUGGACGCAUCACUGGUGUUCGGGUUGUCAUGCCAAUGGCACUGCCCGGUAGCUAAAUGCGGAAGAGAUAAGUGCUGAAAGCAUCUAAGCACGAAACUUGCCCCGAGAUGAGUUCUCCCUGAGACUUAGAGUCUCCUGAAGGAACGUUGAAGACGACGACGUUGAUAGGCCGGGUGUGUAAGCGCAGCGAUGCGUUGAGCUAACCGGUACUAAUGAACCGUGAGGCUUAACCUU
rnacentral:rRNA from 1 species